rnacentral:rRNA from 1 species
UACAGAGGUCUCAAGCGUUGUCCGGGUUCAUUGGGCGUAAAGGGUGCGUAGGCGGCGCGGUAAGUCGGGUGUGAAAUCUCGGAGCUUAACUCCGAAACUGCAUUCGAUACUGCCGUGCUUGAGGACUGGAGAGGAGACUGGAAUUUACGGUGUAGCGGUGAAAUGCGUAGAUAUCGUAAGGAAGACCAGUGGCGAAGGCGGGUCUCUGGACAGUUCCUGACGCUGAGGCACGAAGGCCAGGGGAGCAAACGGG